ensembl:snoRNA
CCUGCCUCCAGAAUCCUUGAAGGUGUGACUUCUGUGUCACCUGUUUGUCAGUAGGUGGCAGAGAGGAGAGAGUCUAUGUCUAUGCGCAGUGUUCUGACCUGUGAACUCUGAAUGGUUAAUAGCCUAACAUU